rnacentral:rRNA from 1 species
AGCCGACCUGAGAGGGUGAUCGGCCACACUGGGACUGAAACACGGCCCAGACUCCUACGGGAGGCAGCAGUAGGGAAUCUUCCACAAUGGACGAAAGUCUGAUGGAGCAACGCCGCGUGAGCGAUGAAGGCCUUCGGGUCGUAAAGCUCUGUUGUUAGGGAAAAACAAGUGCGAGAGUAACUGCUCGCACCUUGACGGUACCUAACCAGAAAGCCACGGCUAACUACGUGCCAGCAGCCGCGGGAAUACGUAGGUGGCAAGCGUUGUCCGGAAUUAUUGGGCGGAAAGCGCGCGCAGGCGGUUUCUUAAGUCUGAUGUGAAAGCCCACGGCUCAACCGNGGAGGGUCAUUGGAAACUGGGAGACUUGAGUGCAGAAGAGGAGAGUGGAAUUCCACGUGUAGCGGUGAAAUGCGUAGAGAUGUGGAGGAACACCAGUGGCGAAGGCGACUCUCUGGUCUGUAACUGACGCUGAGGCGCGAAAGCGUGGAGGAGCAAACAGGAUUA